UUGUUUUCAAUGGACAAAAAUGAAGAAAGAAAGAAGCCGGCCACUUGGGAUGGCAACGAAACAAUGCUUUUUAGCAACUAUAAAAGAGUUGCAAGUAAUAACAUUGAUGGACGGAAAGAAAUUCCGAAUUUCAGAAAUAUUCAAGAAAGUAGAGGAAACUUUCAAAAAGAAAGGCUAUAAUAGGACACAUAUGCAACUUUUAGACAAAUUUAAAGCAAUGAAAAAACGAUUUAAAAUUACAAUUGGAGCUUUGUCAGUAAGUGGCGCAGGAACCAAAGAUAAAGAAAAAAAUUGUCCUUUUUUUGAAGAGUUAAAUGAAAUAUUUGGCCAUCGACCAAUUGUAAAUCAAAGGGAGCUUUGUCAGUAAGUGGCGCAGGAACCAAAGAUAACGAAAAAAAUUGUCCUUUUUUUGAAGAGUUAAAGGAAAUAUUUGGCCGUCGACCAAUUGUAAAUCAAAGUGGUGUAGAUUCUACCAUAUUGCAGCCUUCGUCGACUUUAGAGCCAAGUACUGAGACCUCUGGUUAUUGUGCAAGAGAUACUGAAACAUCUGUAUCAAAAAAGUAUGAUGAAUCACAGACAAAAUUCAUUGAACAUACUAGUCGUUCUACUCCAACGCCAUUGACUUCAAUUGGUCACAAAAGAGCAUGAUCUUCUGAUACGCGAUAUAGUCCACUUACGCCAUCACCAAUAUCCAAGUUUUCUUUCUCAGAAGACAGCAGAGAUACUUCAACGCCUCCCUUUAAUGAACUUGAUGGAUCUAACCACCUAUUUACAGUUUCUUCUAAAAAACGUAAAAUAUGCGAAACACCUACUCUCUUAAGUCGUGAAAGUCCGCGAUCUGGCUUAAAAAAUAUCAUGCACACUUUUACUAAAGAAAUAAUUGAAUCGCAAGAAAAACUACUGACAAAAACUAUUGAAGAGCAGCGCAAGCUUGAUCAGGAAAUGUUCAAUCAGUAUAAUAAUAUCUUUUUACAACAAAUACAAAUGUUAUUUGCGGGAUUGCAAAACUUAAGUGUGCCCUUUCCUCAAAAUUAUUCGUCAUUUCAGCCAUUUUCUGCUAUGCCACCAACAAGGCCAAUGUUCACAGAAACUUUACACCAGUCAUAUCCUCAACAAAUAGUUCCAUGUCAAAAUGAUAAGAAUACAGCUCCAAAAUCAGAUUAAACCGGAAAAGGGAUUUCCACAAUUACAUCAUCAAAUUCCAUUCAAUAAAAAAACGAACAGCCACUUGCUGAAAAUUCAUCUACUUUGCUUCAUACACUCACUAUGUCACAAAGUAAAACAUUUUGUCCUAAGUUUGAAGAAGAUGAAGACAUCAUAUAUG